rnacentral:snRNA from 2 species
GUGCUUGUUUUGGCAGUGCCUAUGCUAACAUUGGAAUGACACAUGGAAGGUGGCACAGCCCCCAAGGGUGACAUGCACAUCUGUGAAGCAUUUCACAUUUUC